GAAGAAUAAGGAGAGACAUCUUGGAGAACUGAAAAAGGAGAAAUCCAGGUGAAGAUCAAAUAACGCAUGUCCAGAUCCAAUAGAUGAUGACCUUUCUCUUAGUGCAUCACUAUAGAAAAUGAGAUCCAGUACUUCCAGAAA